UACGUAGGGUGCGAGCGUUAAUCGGAAUUACUGGGCGUAAAGCGUGCGCAGGCGGUUUUGUAAGCCAGAUUUGAAAUCCCCGGGCUUAACCUGGGAAUGGCAUUUGGGACUGCAAGGCUGGAGUGCGGCAGAGGAGACUGGAAUUCCUGGUGUAGCAGUGAAAUGCGUAGAUAUCAGGAGGAAUACCGAUGGCGAAGGCAGGUCUCUGGGCUGACACUGACGCUCAUGCACGAAAGCGUGGGGAGCAAACAGG
rnacentral:rRNA from 1 species